UACGUAGGGGGCAAGCGUUAUCCGGAUUUACUGGGUGUAAAGGGAGCGCAGACGGCAUGGCAAGUCUGAAGUAAAAGGCAUGGGCUCAACCCGUGGACUGCUUUGGAAACUGUCAGGCUAGAGUGUCGGAGAGGCAAGUGGAAUUCCUAGUGUAGCGGUGAAAUGCGUAGAUAUUAGGAGGAACACCAGUGGCGAAGGCGGCUUGCUGGACGAUGACUGACGUUGAGGCUCGAAAGCGUGGGGAGCAAACAGG
rnacentral:rRNA from 1 species